rnacentral:rRNA from 1 species
GAUGAACGCUGGCGGCGUGCCUAAUACAUGCAAGUCGAGCGAACGGACGAGAAGCUUGCUUCUCUGAUGUUAGCGGCGGACGGGUGAGUAACACGUGGAUAACCUACCUAUAAGACUGGGAUAACUUCGGGAAACCGGAGCUAAUACCGGAUAAUAUUUUGAACCGCAUGGUUCAAAAGUGAAAGACGGUCUUGCUGUCACUUAUAGAUGGAUCCGCGCUGCAUUAGCUAGUUGGUAAGGUAACGGCUUACCAAGGCAACGAUGCAUAGCCGACCUGAGAGGGAGAUCGGACACACUGGAACUGAGACACGGUCCACACUCCUACGGGAGGCAGCAGUAGGGAAUCUUCCGCAAUGGGCGAAAGCCUGACGGAGCAACGCCGCGUGAGUGAUGAAGGUCUUCGGAUCGUAAAACUAUGUUAUUAGGGAAGAACAUAUGUGUAAGUAACUGUGCACAUCUUGACGGUACCUAAUCAGAAAGCCACGGCUAACUACGUG